AGCUUCCUUGCGCAGUCUUCUCCGAAACUCGAGCGCGGAGAGCUGUGUUCCUUCCGUCGCGUCGCGACGCCGCCGAUGCCACCACGUACACGUCCACGUUCGCGACGUGAUUGAAUUUUCUCGUGUCGUCCAGUGCCUCCCGUUUUCCGGCUCCCGGUCAGUUUGUGUGCUUUCCCUCGGAAUCCCAGUCUUCCGGAGGCUCCGUCGAGUCGUGUUGUGUUUUCUUCUUACGUUGCCCGCAGCCGAUGCUUUACUUACACGAUUGUGCACUUCCCAUGUUUUCUCCUCGAAUCCCACUCGUGCUUGGCGACGAAACCAAAGUCUGCUCGUGGGAAGCAGAGUGCCCUAUGGAUAAAGUUCGCAAUGAUUGAAAUUCUACGAUGCUGAUUUGGAUCUCCUCUUGUGUUUUAUUCACGAUUUUACCACUAAACGCUAAUUUGAAUUGAGUUUUUGACCCUGGUAACGCCUCAUUUUUGGGAAGCAUGAACAGUGUGUAUCGACGGAGGAGGCUUUCAUCUCUGGACUGCAAAUUAUCCUGUUUUAUUCUGCUUCUCUACAUGCGUUGAGAAAAUUUAGCAUAUGCCUUCCCUCCAGCAAGCAUGACUUUCAAGAAGACAGUGUUCGCAGUGCUUUCCAGUGUGCCGUGUCCGUUUACCCCCGGUUCUUCCAUCGUGUGACUCUCACCGAAGUUCUGAAGGAUCAAAUCUGCGAUGGAUGCUGUCACUUGACCGAGUGUAAAAUCCCUUAAAUUCGAAUUUUGACGCGAAGGAAUCCAUGUCACAACUUAGUCUUGAUUUUUUGUGGUAUAAUCACACUGAAGGCGUCACAGUUUUGAAACUGACUAAAAAUCUCUACAAUUUACUCGCGUCGAAUCCAAACGUUUUCUGAUUAAGUGAGGUCAGUUUUUGACCCCAAUUUAAGCACCUUAACUGGUAAUUGUUUUCAGUUUUUAUUUCGUAGGUCGACGUCCGUUUUUUAAACCACUCUACUUCUCAGUCAAUUUCCACAUUUAAAAGCCGUUAAUAAUUCGGAACCUAUUUUGGAACUCUUUCGUUUUUCAUUUUUUAAAUCGUCACCUUUUUUAAACGCCAAUCGAGGGCUCGGAAAUCUUAAUGACUGAAGAGUGUGUAAUCCAUUCCAAAUCGAAAAACUUUACCUCCAAAUGAAUGUGAAUAUCAAAAUCUAACAAAUGUGUUGAACUUGAACUCCAAAAUUUUACGCAACAGCAUCCAUCCUCUCAAAAUGUACCAAAUCCAGACCGGUGAUUGUGCAGCUAAUUGCCGCUACAUGUAGCGGAUUUACGUAUUCGCGCAGCAAUUCAAACAUUUUUUAAUCCAAAAUAUGUUAUAAUAUCGUAUUAUCCGUUUAAAUCCAAAAUGUUGUGACUCGGCUUUAACACUCUUUGCAGCAGUGAAUACUCUUUGGACUCUAUUUUUUGUUUUUCUAAAAAAAAAAAA